rnacentral:pre_miRNA from 1 species
UGAGUUAAUCCUGCGAGGGGAGUGAACGCGGUAUUGGUGCGGUUCAAUCAGAGAGCUGGCGCCCCAGGAGGCAAGGGGUUCCUCCCUUCGAUUGAGCCGUGCCAAUAUCACGCGGUUUCUCAUGAAUCGCAUCCUCCU